AAUGGAUGCCGCACAUGACUAGAUAACCGCACCGGGAGGCGCAUUUGUAGUGUGGUAGGAGUUCUCAAAUUCCAUGUCCUGUAGGUGGGCCGUGCGUCAGCUGAUGACGUUGGACAACAAAAAUGGCAGGAGGAAGCAGCAACUACUGGGAAGAUUUGCGAAAGCAGGCCAGGCAGCUGGAGAAUGAGUUGGACCUGAAGCUGGUGUCUUUCAGUAAACUGUGUACAAGCUACAGCAGCUCCAGAGAUGGCCGUCGAGGAGACAGCAACUCAGAUACUGCUCCCCUCCUCAACAACUCAACGCAGGACAGAAUGUUUGAGACCAUGUCUGGGGAGAUUGAACAGCUGCUGGCCAAACUCACAGGUGUAAAUGACAAGAUGGCUGAGUACACCAGCACCCCGGGGGUGACGUCCCUUAACGCAGCCCUGAUGCACACGCUCCAGAGACACAGAGACAUCUUGCAAGACUACACUCACGAAUUCCACAAAACCAAAGCUAACUUCCUUGCCAUCCGGGAGAGAGAAGAUUUGCUGGGGUCCGUCCGCAAAGACAUUGAGACAUACAAGAGUGGCUCAGGAGUGAACAACAGAAGAACAGAACUGUUUCUGAAGGAGCAUGAGCACCUGAGAAACUCUGACCGCCUGAUGGAUGACACAAUAAGUAUUGCCAUGGCGACCAAGGAGAACAUGACAUCCCAGAGAGGGCUAUUGAAGUCUAUACAAAGCAGAGUCAACACUCUGGCCAAUCGUUUCCCAGCCAUCAACAACCUCGUCCAGCGACUCAACCUGCGGAAGAGACGAGACUCCCUAAUCCUAGGCGGAGUCAUCGGCGUUUGCACCAUCCUCCUCCUGCUCUACGCCUUCCACUGAUGACGAACAGACUGGUCGAACAAUCGUUACUCUGCGUUUGUAACAUCGGAAUCAGAACUCUGGAGAAUGGGCUUUAGUGAUUGGAGGCUACUGGACAGACAGACACCCUCUUGGCCCAAUCGGUUAACAGGAUUGAUCGAAGGCAGCAUGGACUACCUGAUUUUGUAUUUAGCAGUGGGAGGGAAGGAGGAGAAGGAUAUGUGAGAUGGAGCAGCACCUUUUUUUCUUUUUUAUCAAAAGUUUGCUGUUCAACGCUGGUUAAGGGAACAGAGACCAAAUGUACUAAUAUAUUUGAAAGAAUUAUAUAUUAAAGAGAAUUAAAAAGAACACUUGCUUUAAGGAGUUUAAUGCUCUGAAGACAGUCCCUCUCUUUCGUUUCCACCAUCUGUCUGUUGAUUUCUGUGAUGGAAGGAUUUUUAGUUGAAUGGUCCUUUUUCGUGAUGGGAUAUUCAGGAGGUUCGUAUUCAUCAUGGGCUGUACAUUGCAUUAUUAAUAAAUUAUUCAUUUACAGUA